UACGUAGGGUCCGAGCGUUGUCCGGAAUUAUUGGGCGUAAAGGGCUCGUAGGCGGUUUGUCACGUCGGGAGUGAAAACUCAGGGCUCAACCCUGAGCGUGCUUCCGAUACGGGCAGACUAGAGGUAUGCAGGGGAGAACGGAAUUCCUGGUGUAGCGGUGGAAUGCGCAGAUAUCAGGAGGAACACUGGUGGCGAAGGCGGUUCUCUGGGCAUGACCUGACGCUGAGGAGCGAAAGCAUGGGGAGCGAACAGG
rnacentral:rRNA from 1 species